rnacentral:rRNA from 1 species
AGGACGAACGCUGGCGGCGUGCUUAACACAUGCAAGUCGAACGGUAAGGCCCCUUCGGGGGUACACGAGUGGCGAACGGGUGAGUAACACGUGGGUAAUCUGCCCUGCACUUCGGGAUAAGCCUGGGAAACUGGGUCUAAUACCGGAUAUGAACUCCUGCCGCAUGGUGGGGGUUGGAAAGUUUUUCGGUGCAGGAUGAGCCCGCGGCCUAUCAGCUUGUUGGUGGGUAAUGGCCUACCAAGGCGACGACGGUAGCCGGCCUGAGAGGGUGAUCGGCCACACUGGGACUGAGACGCGGCCCAGACUCCUACGGGAGGCAGCAGUGGGGAAUAUUGCAACAAUGGGACGAAAGCCUGAUGCAGCGACGCCGCGGUGGGGGAUGACGGUCUUCGGAUUGUAAACCCUUCAGUAGGGACGAAGCGCAAGUGACGGUACCUACGAGAAGAAGACACCGGACUAACGUACGUGCCAGCAGCCGCGU